GCGAAGCUCCUGAUCGAAGCCCCAGUAAACGGCGGCCGUAACUAUAACGGUCCUAAGGUAGCGAAAUUCCUUGUCGGGUAAGUUCCGACCUGCACGAAUGGCGUAAUGAUGGCCAGGCUGUCUCCACCCGAGACUCAGUGAAAUUGAACUCGCUGUGAAGAUGCAGUGUACCCGCGGCAAGACGGAAAGACCCCGUGAACCUUUACUAUAGCUUGACACUGAACAUUGAGCCUUGAUGUGUAGGAUAGGUGGGAGGCUUUGAAGUGUGGACGCCAGUCUGCAUGGAGCCAACCUUGAAAUACCACCCUUUAACGUUUGAUGUUCUAACCUAGGCCCAUAAACUGGGUCGGGGACCGUGUCUGGUGGGUAGUUUGACUGGGGCGGUCUCCUCCUAAAGAGUAACGGAGGAGCACGAAGGUUGGCUAAGCAUGGUCGGACAUCAUGCGGUUAGUGCAAAGGCAUAAGCCAGCUUGACUGCGAGAGUGACGGCUCGAGCAGGUACGAAAGUAGGUCUUAGUGAUCCGGUGGUUCUGAAUGGAAGGGCCAUCGCUCAACGGAUAAAAGGUACUCCGGGGAUAACAGGCUGAUACCGCCCAAGAGUUCAUAUCGACGGCGGUGUUUGGCACCUCGAUGUCGGCUCAUCACAUCCUGGGGCUGAAGUAGGUCCCAAGGGUAUGGCUGUUCGCCAUUUAAAGUGGUACGCGAGCUGGGUUUAGAACGUCGUGAGACAGUUCGGUCCCUAUCUGCCGUGGGCGUUGGAAGAUUGAGAGGGGUUGCUCCUAGUACGAGAGGACCGGAGUGAACGCACCACUGGUGUUCGGGUUGUCAUGCCAAUGGCAUUGCCCGGUAGCUAAGUGCGGAAGAGAUAACCGCUGAAAGCAUCUAAGCGGGAAACUUGCCUCGAGAUGAGUCUUCCCUGUCGCUUUAAGCGACCUAAAGGAACGUUUAAGACUAAGACGUUGAUAGGCUGGGUGUGUAAGCGUAGCGAUACGUUGAGCUAACCAGUACUAAUGAACCGUGAGGCUUAACCUG
rnacentral:rRNA from 1 species